rnacentral:rRNA from 1 species
CCUACGGGAGGCAGCAGUGGGGAAUAUUGCACAAUGGGCGCGAGCCUGAUGCAGCCAUGCCGCGUGUGUGAAGAAGGCCUUCGGGUUGUAAAGCACUUUCAGCGGGGAGGAAGGCGUUAAGGUUAAUAACCUUGGCGAUUGACGUUACCCGCAGAAGAAGCACCGGCUAACUCCGUGCCAGCAGCCGCGGUAAUACGGAGGGUGCAAGCGUUAAUCGGAAUUACUGGGCGUAAAGCGCACGCAGGCGGUCUGUCAAGUCGGAUAUGAAAUCCCCGGGCUCAACCUGGGAACUGCAUUCGAAACUGGCAGGCUAGAGUCUUGUAGAGGGGGGUAGAAUUCCAGGUGUAGCGGUGAAAUGCGUAGAGAUCUGGAGGAAUACCGGUGGCGAAGGCGGCCCCCUGGACAAAGACUGACGCUCAGGUGCGAAAGCGUGGGGAGCAAACAGGAUUAGAUACCCCAGUAGUC